AACCGCCCGUCCCCAGCCCGCGGGGGUCGCGGUGCUCCGCGGGUGGGAGCCGGUCGCGGUGUCUGCCCGCAGCACUGAGCAGUGGAUCUGCCUUUGCACGUGCAUCAUAGAAUCAGAGAAUGGCUUGAGUUGAGAAAGACCCUAAAGAUCAGUCCUGUUGUUCCAACUCCCUGCCGUGGGCAGCAACACCUUCCACCAGACCAGGUUGCUCAGAGCCCCAUCUGACCCGGCCUUGAACGCAGCCAGGGAUGUGGCAUCCACAGUUUCUCUGGGUGAACCUGUGCCAGAGGUGUAUCUAGUACUGAACUCCCACUACUAGAGAACUGCUGUAAAAAUAUCAUAAAAGAGAAACAGGCUUUUGAAAGGCUGGAAGUCAACAAGGAGACCCUGUUAGACAUGUUUAAGUAUAACAACUUUUAACUGUCACAUCCCUAAUGAGAAGGUGAAGACACCAACUACCACAAUAUACAGGUAAAGAAAUAUGCUUCUAAGAUAUUGUAUUUUUAUAGUUAGUUUAUUUAAAUUGAGACAGGAAUAAAUUGGUUUUUCGUUUUAGUUUAUUUUUUAUUUUUAUUCUAACUUCCAAAUUCUUGUGUGAUUGGGACUUAGGUUUGCAAUUAAUAUUGCUACUUUUGUAAAACGAGGUAUUUUCUUUCUCUGCUGGGACAGAUUAGGUCUCAAUUUGUGGACAAAUGGCAAAUUCAGUUCUUAUUCAUUCCCUCUCAUUUCAGUAAACUGAUUAAAAUAAGUUACCACCCCAGACAUUGGAUUGGUGCAUAGUGGGUAACACUAACUCUCAGCUUAUUGGGGGGUGAGGAACCUGCUUAUUUAGUUGCUCAUUCCAAUCAGUUGGUUGGAAAAUAGCAAAACCAUUUUUCUGUUUGAUAUGCAUAGUUUGAAAUUUCCUGGCCAGCUUUAACAAAGUUCACAUAUGGAACUAUAUGAGUUGGUGAGUGUGUUAUGAUGGUCUUGAUAAUAGAUCAGCUGUGCUGAGCAUUUACUGAGAGAAUAUUUCACUUCAGGUAGAAGGCACAGUUACAUUUAUGGAGCACUGAAUGUGCUGCACAUUGCAUAUUCAUAUUUACUACCGUGGUGGAAUGUGUCAAGCACGAACUUGUGCACCAUGAGUGACUGUACUGAGAAAAUGUUGGAGUAUUUGGAAAUGAACACUUUUUUUCUUUUGGCAUAUAGAUGUGGUCCACCGAUUAAUCUCUGCAGAGUGAGACACAUUGGAAAAUUAAGGCCCUUAAAAUAGUUAGGGUAAACUGAAAUUAACUGUGCAUUGAAAUUGAAGUAAACAAUGGUACAGUUGAUUUAUUUGUGUAUUUAUUUCUCCUGAGCUGAUUAUGCUAGGGUUCUUUGUAUUGUUUUCUUUGUUUACUCUGAAAAUAGUCCUUCAUUUCUUUCUGAACUCCCAUUUUACAAGUAGAACUGCAGACUUUAAUCAUUCAUCUGCGUCCAAGGUUUACUGAUUCUUGACUAUCACAAUAGUACAUCAGUGAAAGUUAACAGCAUCUUUUUUUGUCAGAGUAUUAGUGUACUAACAUGCAUGUUUAGACUGAUGAAGAGCACAGUAAGAACACUGUAGCUAGUAGUGACUAGAUUAGCUAUGGAACCAAUUGUCCCAUGCCCAGUAGAGAAGUGCGGUGCCUAAGCCCAUGUGGCAGUGCUGUUCCAGGACCUCUGACCAGCACUGCACCUCAUAGUACGAGUGUUCUGGUUUGAGACUGUACUUGCUGUCACAUCUGCAUGUGUGCGUGUGGGGCUGCACGCUCUGUUCUGCAGCAAAUGAACAUCCAAGUGUUUAUUGAGUCAGAAUAUACUACUUUGACCUUGUCAGAUGGUAUCUUUCAGGUACAGGAGGUAAAAUGGCAGAUCUGCAAGUGCUGCUGUUAAAAGAUGGUAUUGCUGACAGGAAAGGCAGAGACAGGGUUUGCAGAGGCCUUUGUUUUUGUGGUAUGGUUUAAGUUACUCACAGAUGCCAAUUUUGGUAACCAUAUUAGACCAAUACCUCAUUGGAAUGUUCAUCAUAGUUGCUUUUGCUGGCUUCCUAACUGAAGUGUGUGGAACUCUGAAUUCCAGGGAUUAUGUGUUAGAUUGUCAAAACAACUAAGAAUUAACUGUGAGAGUUAGGUUUGUUGUGUCUUUCGUGUUUCUCUACUGCAGUAUGUUUUGAAUGUGCUUUGAACUGCUUUUCUAGCUGCUAUAAUAUGAAGUAAUAAAACAUGCCAUGAUGUGAGUUGAAACAAGCUACCUAAGUAGAAUAAAAAUAUUACUUGACCAGUCACUUUUGUUUGUCUUCUGUAUUAGUAUGCUGACUAAAAGGCACUGCAAGUAUCUUUGUUAUAAACAAAUGCUCAAAGACUGCAUAUAAAUCUCUUCCCAAGGAAAGAAAUAAUACUGUUUGAAUGUGUUAAUGCUUAUCUCUCCUUUCCGUGAUAUUAUGUAAUAUUAUCUUAAAGUUUGGGGUUUGUGUAUCAGAGUUCCUCUGAUAUGGAAACUCUGCAGAAAAUAUAUAGAAUAUCCUUUCCUUAUAACAAAAUGAUGAAGGAAUGUGAAAAAAUCCAGGAAGAAGCCAGGAACUGGGAUCAUAGGAAAACUGGAAAGGUACACUAUUCCAUUGUUUACUUAUUUUAUGCUUCUAUAAUAGAAUUCAUUCUCUUUCCUUGUUUUUUAGUUUUGGUUUGCUUGUUUUUUCCAUUUUUGGCAGUUUGAAUGAGAGCCAGUUCUGUAUGCUUCUUGGUGUUGCUUAUGUUUUGAAAUUUUAGUUCUGCAAACUCAAUGCUGGGCUCCCGCAAGUGAACAGCAGCCCUUUCCCCCCAGGAAAGAAAGCCUGGAGCCUCGAGCUCUCAGGUGCAGAUGAUGGGCCUCCCAGGGCACUCUGUGGGCAGCAAGACCUUUCUGUCCUGGCCCCUUCUGUCUGGGAGAAAUCUUUGUCCGUAUUCAAUUUGGGGAGGCGGCCUGGCAAUUUUGGAGCUGGGCUCCUGCCUGCAGACAACAGCCCUUUCCCCUAUGAAAGAAAGCCUGGAGCCUCAGGCUGUCAGGUGCAGAUGAUGGGCCUUCCAGGGCACUCCACAGUGUGACAGACUGAAAUGGCUUAAACACUCUCAAAAUCAUAGAAAGAUUUCUUGUCAAACUGUAAGGAAGCAACUGCCUGUCUGCGACCACUGAAGUGCCCCCCUCCUAAAUGACCUUCCUGACUGGAAUUUGGACUGUGACAGGGACUUCAGGUAAGACUAUUGUCUAAUCAUCUCAGGUCUGAGGAGAAGUAAACAAGGCUCAUUGGGUGGUGGAAGAGAAGGGUUUUGGGGGUGUGAUGGCAAAAUCUUUGUACACCCAGCAGGAGUAAUCCCCUCCCCACUCCAGGAAGACCACAUAUACACGGGACAUUCACGUAAGAGGCAGUCGAGCAGGGGUUAUAAACCAUUAAAGACCCCCAAAGAGCCCCCACGUCUCAUUCCUGCGGUCUUCCUCCACUACAGAACUGCACGUGAUGCAACAAAUCCAGAGCCUGUCGCAAGAGACUGCAAAGCUUCCUCUCUCCCAGGGCAGGUGCCUAGGCAUCUCCUGGACAUGUAUUAAUCCACUGCACUCCAUGUUUUGCUAGGCCCUCCCCACUAAGACCAGAAGAACAGGACUCCAUGAGAUGCCACCAGGUUCCAUGGAGUGGUGAUAAAUUUUCUAUUUUAAUCUCUCUCUGUCACUCUCUUUCU